ACCCGCUGAACUUAAGCAUAUCAGUAAGCGGAGGAAAAGAAACUAACUAGGAUUCCCCGAGUAGCGGCGAGCGAAAGGGGAGAAGCCCAGCGCCGAAGCCCGCGAUCCCUGGUCGCAGUGCAAUGUGGCGUUUCGGUGGCGGCUCGCCGCGACUUCUCUGGCACGCGUACCUCUGAAUGGGUCUGCCCGUGGCGGGUGUCAGGCCUCUAGCUGCCAAACGAGUCGUCGUGGCCCGCAGUCAUCGCGGAGUCGGGUUGCUUGAGAGUGCAGCCCAAAGUGGGUGGUAAGCUCCAUCUAAGGCUAAAUACCUAGUGCGAGACCGAUAGCAAACAAGUACCGUGAGGGAAAGUUGCAAAGAACUUUGAAAAGAGAGUUCAAGAGUACGUGAAACCGUUCAGAGGCAAACGGACGGAACUGGGCGAGUUCGCCGUUGACAUUCAGCCGCUGGGCCUUCGGGUCGGGUGGUGCACUUGUCGGCGGCGGAGCGCGACGACCGCCUGUCGAGUCGCAAGAAGCCCGGUGGCAAGGUGGCGACGCGUUCGCGCGUCGUGUUACAGGCCGCCGCGGUGUUUGCCGACUUGGCGGGCGAGGAGCGCCUGCGGUGCACUCCCCGCGCGGGAGUGGCCCGACGUAGUGGGCUUGCGGACGCCGGCGACGAACUGCUCGCAGUUCGAUGUCGCGCGCUCUGCCUGUCGCGCUGCGCGGUGCCACGAGGCACCCAGGGUCCGGGUCGUGUGGUUCCUGGCACUCCGUCCGACCCGUCUUGAAACACGGACCAAGGAGUUGAGCACGUGCGCGAGUCGAUGGGCUUGACGAACCCCAGUGGCGCAGCUAAGGCAAAACGGGCGUGAUCCGGCACUAGCGUGUCGGCGCAACGCCGGCCCGCGGCUGACUCGUUGCGAGUGGCCGCGGCGCAAGAGCGUACGUGCUCAGACCCGAAAGGUGGUGAACUAUGCUUGAGCAGGGCGAAGCCAGAGGAAACUCUGGUGGAGGCUCGCAGCGAUCCUGACGUGCAAAUCGGUCGUCAAACUUGAGCAUAGGGGCGAAAGACUAAUCGAACCGCCUAGUAGCUGGUUCCCUCCGAAGUUUCCCUCAGGAUAGCUGGCACUCGGAAACAAUGGUUGUAUCCGGUAAAGCGAAUGAUUAGAGGCAUUGGGGACGAAACGUCCUCAACCUAUUCUCAAACUUUAAAUGGGUACGAGGCGCGACCCUUACCUGAUCGGGGUCGCGUGCUUGAGAACAGAGAGUGCCCAGUGGGCCGUUUUUGGUAAGCAGAACUGGCGCUGUGGGAUGAACCAAACGCGCGGUUAGGGUGCCAAACGCACGCUCAUGAGAUACCACAAAAGGUGUUGGUUGAUAUAGACAGCAGGACGGUGGCCAUGGAAGUCGGAAUCCGCUAAGGAGUGUGUAACAACUCACCUGCCGAAUCAACUAGCCCUGAAAAUGGAUGGCGCUGGAGCGUGCGACCCAUACCGCGCCGUCGGGGCAAUGCGUGCGAAAUGCCAGGCCCCGACGAGUAGGAGGGCGUGUCGGUGGCGUUGAAGCGUAGUGCGCGAGCACGCGUGGAGCCGCCUUCAGUGCAGAUCUUGGUGGUAGUAGCAAGUAUACAAAUGAGAACUUUGUAGACCGAAGUGGAGAAGGGUUCCAUGUGAACAGCAGUUGGACAUGGGUCAGUCGGCCCUAAGAGAUCGGCGAACGCCGUUCUGAACGGGGGAGGCGCGACCGGAGCCGUCAGAAUAUUCUGGUGAGAGCGGCGGCCGGCGGCCGAAGUCAGACCCCCGAUUCGAUCGAAAGGGAAUCGGGUUAAUAUUCCCGAACCUGGCAGUGGAGAUUGGGCCUUCGGGCCCCAGUGCGGUAACGCAACCGAACUCGGAGACGCCAGCGUCGAUCCCGGGAAGAGUUCUCUUUUCUUUGUUAGGAGCGGACUCCCUGGAAUUGGCUUGUCCAGAGAUAGGGACGUUGCAUCCGUAAAGCGUCGCGCCUCACGCGGCGUCCGGUGCAUCGGCGUUGGCCCUUGAAAAUCCGAGGGAGGCAGUGUAAUUUUCACUCCAGGCCGUACCCGAAUCCGCAGCAGGUCUCCAAGGUGAACAGCCUCUGGUCGAUAGAACAAUGUAGGUAAGGGAAGUCGGCAAAUCCGAUCCGUAACUUCGGGAUAAGGAUUGGCUCUGAAGUGCGGGCUGCUUCGGGUCGCGGCAAGAAGCGGAUCGUGUGUUGGCUGGACUGGGCGUGCCUCGGCGCGCUCGGACCGCCGCCAGCGCGCGUCCGUGGGAGGCCGUGGCUUUCGCCGGCGUUGGCCUCGUGUCGGCGUCGGCUUCGUUCGGCCUAAACGCACAGUACAGAACUGGCACGGACUCUGGGAACACGACUGUCUAAUUAAAACAAAGCAUCGCGAUGGCCGCUGGUCGGUGUUGACGCGAUGUGAUUUCUGCCCAGUGCUUUGAAUGUCAAAGUGAAGAAAUUCAACCAAGCGCAGGUAAACGGCGGGAGUAACUAUGACUCUCUUAAGGUAGCCAAAUGCCUCGUCAUCUAAUUAGUGACGCGCAUGAAUGGAUUAACGAUGUUCCCACUGUCCCUAUCUACUAUCUAGCGAAACCACAGCCAAGGGAACGGGCUUGGCAAAUACAGCGGGGAAAG
rnacentral:rRNA from 1 species